AAUUCCCCAAGAAUUUGCCAACUGACCCUUUGGUUAAUAACCUCACCUUUUUGGGGAGCUCAGGUUUUCCCUAGAUAUGUACCAUACUCCUCUUCCUACAAUUUAGGAGAAGGAUCCCUAAGUUGAGACAGGGACAAAAUGAAGUUCUCAUAUUGCUGUCAUGAUAACGGGUACGAAUGAAGUGACCAAAGACAUACUCUGCGUGAGCAAAAGGAUUCGGCUCUGCCCGCCUGAGAGCUCAGCUAAUGGGAUUGGUGAACUAGAAGGACUUCUUGAGAGGAGAAGGAAGGAAGCAGGUUGAUCUCCAGCCUGAAGGAGGAGCACAGGAAAGCACAGAAGUGUGAAGGUCUGGAGGCUGGAGGUCCAAGAUCAGGGUGCCAGCAUGGUCCGGUUCUGGUUUCAGAACAUACAAGGGCUAGAAGAACAAGAUAAAUGAUACUACAGGGGAAAAACAUCAGACAGUUUCAGAAUUGUGAUACAUUCUACAGGACAACUGGCCAGGAUCCUCCUACUGAUAAUUAUCCAACAAUAAUGAGUCUUCCAAUUAGUCUAACGCUUCCCACAUCUGCUAUAUGGCCAUUGGCCAUCGCCGCAGCCUCAGUCAGGCAGGCCUCAGGCCCAUUUUGUGGAUGGAGAACUGGUGCUCUGCCCAGAGAAGAGAGCCAGCUGCCUUGCCUCAGCCACACAGCUUAUAAGUACUCAGGGAAGAACACAGCAUUCUUUCCCCAACACCUGUGUUUCUCAAUUCCCCUUCACCUCCAGCCCACCUCGUCCCAACUCUGAUGCCUCCAAUGCGGAAAUCAUUUUGAUUUCGUUUUUGUAACUGCAGUUAGGAGAACAGCUGAAACAGAACACACGCAGAAAAAUUGAAACCCACCCCACAUCUCGGUUCUGAUUUACCUAUUUGUAGAUUUGAGUCAUUGGCUACCAUCUGCUGAACCAGCUACCUGACUGUAUCCUCGGGGCGCCGUGGCUGACUCAAUUUGCUCCCUUUGCCUGGUGAAGGAGGACACACUCAAAGGCAAACCUGCUCACUCCGCAGUUUGCUCUUGAUUAUUCACUAAGACUUUCAAGACUUCUGUCUUAAGUGUCAAUAGAAGAACCCAAGUCUGAAUGUGGCCCUUUGUGCCCAACAUCUAGCCCAAUACCAGACACAGCCAAAUUCUUAGGUAGCUUUUCUUCUGAGGAUGUCUUUCCAGCACUUUUUGUCUUCAAAUAUUGACCCAACUUGAAGGGACACCCACAAAGCUGGGACAGCUUAAGCAUCAAAAUGAAUAACUGAUUGUAAAGGAUUGAAGCUCAUUGAAUAUCUAAAAAUCCAUGAGUCCACAAUGAUACUCAAAAAGAGAAAGCAAGCAAACAAGCAAGUAGAUUCUCACUUGUUAUAAUUGGAGUCUGCCAUUACACCAACUCCUUAUUCUGAAAAUAGGUAAAUAACUCUAUUUUAGGCAUUAAGCUCCAGUUGGUGAGGUAUGGUCUUCUUUAUGGAUGAAUACUGAGUAGUAAAUGUAGAAGAAAUGGUAAAAUUAGAAAAUCACCACUUGGCAAUCCCUAAAGAAAUAGUAGAUUCAAGCAAGAAUCAUUUAUGGACAAUAGGGGAAAUGUUGAUAGGGAAUUACAUUCACCUGGUGUCAAAGUACUAGCUCUCCCACACCAGAUUUCUCAGUAGUCACAAGAGGAAAACGUGGGGCAUCAGGUUAUGUGACAUAGACCCAAGAUCAGUCCUAGCACUACAAAAAUAGGACAGCCAGACAUUGUAUAUCUCUUGACAAGAUGCAAUAUAAAGUACCCAACAUGACCUAUAAAAUAUUCUCUUCAAAAAUAUUUCACCCAAAUCUAGUCAAGUCUUUAGAUACUACUUCCAAGUUACAGGAAAUAUAGGAGGUAGAAAAACAAGAUAAAUGACAUCACAAAAGGAGAAAAAAUCAAAUUACUCGAGAAUUGUGAUACAUUCUACAGGACAACUGGUCUUUUAUCCUCCGUAAAUCAGUGCCAUGAAAAUGAAGAGGAAACAAAGAGAUGGAUCCUAGCAUAGAUAAUCUACAAGAAUUAGAAUUAUGGGAUUCUCUCAAUUUCAGGAAGCUCACUUUCUUUCUAGAACAGUGCUCAGUGCAAGAACCAGGCUAUACUGAGCACUCAAUACGUAUGUGUUGAAUGAAAGAAUGAAUAGCAAGUGACUGAAUUCUAUAGAGGAGAUCAAACAGGCUCAGAGAGGUGGGUGCUGUGCCCAAUGUCAGGCAGCUGGUCAGUGGCAGAGCCAGGGCUAAAACUUCAUCUAUUAGCACUAACCUAGUGCUUGUUCCAUAAUUCUCUGUUUUUGCUUUUUCGUGUAUAAUUUAGUUCUAGAUUUAAAAAGACUAAGGAGACAUAACAGCCUUAUGUGCCCUACGAGACAAAUGUAAUGUGUGGUUUCUGGUUGGAUCCUGGUUUGAAUAAGCCAGCUGUAAAAGAUAUUCUGAGAACAACUGAGAAACUGAACACACACUGGUCCUAGAUGACGUUGAGGCAUCUCUGACAAUUCUGUCAGGUGAGAUAACGGUAUUGUGGUUACACAGGAAGUGGUCUGUCCUUAUUUUCUAGAGACACACACUAAAAUUUUUCGGGGUAAAAGUCAUGACAUUGCGGUAAUUUUCUUUAAAAUACUCCAGCACAAAAAACUUGGUCAAGCAUUUAUGCUAACAUGCUGAUAAGUAUUAAAUCUAGGAAAUGGGUACGUGAGUAUUUAUUAGACUAUUCUUUCUUUUGUUUGAAAAUGUUCAUACUAAGAUGAUAAAGAGAGAUCAGACAGACAGACAGUAGACAGCCAGCCAGCAAAAGCCUGGAGUUCUUUGAUUUCUCAAUGUUCCUACUGAAGUGAGCAAUUUUACCUAAUUAGGAAUGAAUGAUAUAAAAGAAAAUUUUCUCCAACAGCUAUUUUUUAAGAACCUUAACAUUAAUAUUGACAUAAAACUUAGUAGAAACAACUGUAUUCUUUAACAUUUUCAAGUCACAUGCAUUUGCACAGCACUUUGUGUUGAAUAAGUUUAGAAACAACUUCGUGUUCAAAAACAUUUAGAAUGUGUUUCUCAAACAAUGUGAAGGAAAUAUUAUUCCUCAUGAUGCUCCAUGAAGAGAAAUCGAGUGGGGAGGAUGGCAAGGACAAGAGAGUUUCGUCAAUCCUGGGCUAGAGCAGCCUUUAGCUUUCUGUUGAUGAUAAGUCUGAGGAGAAGCAUGUGGCCCUCAGUUGAAGUAUUUUGCAUCACAUUUGAAUAGUAACUUUAAGAGGGUGUCACAGAGAGGGCUGGCAACUUGGCUUCUGCUUAACACUUUGCUGACCCCAAAGAAUUCAGCUAUUUGGCAACUUGGUGGGUUGGGGAGUGGAGAGAGAGCUCUUCUUUCCUUCCUACUAGUCUACCCCGUGUCCAUCUCCAACUCUACGUCAGAAGGGGAAGGGUCUGUCUGUGUGGCUGCAACAAUCACAGCCCACCAGCUUAGUGCUGGGGCACCCCCAUCCCCCUGGCCGAAUUUUAAGAAGACAUUACACAUUUGAGCAGGAGAAAGCAUCUAGGAGACCAUGGGUUCACAAUUGAAUGAGUUUGAGGAACUAAACUGUGCAUGAGAAAAAUUAAACAGGAAGAAGACUGUGGGAUGAACACUGUGUUUGGAAUUGGCAGAACUGGGUUUUAGUCCCAGUUUUACCUCCAACUGUCUAUUUACCAUCAACACAAGACUUAGCUUUAUCUCAUCUAUUAAAUAUCUAUCUAUCUAUCUAUCUAUCUAUCUAUCUAUCUAUCUAUCUGUCUGUCUACUCUUUCAUUCCAUAAAUGUUUCUUCAGUGCCCAGUAUAUGCCAGGUACUACACUAGGAAGGCAUGCUGCUUCCAGAAAAUGAUAGACUUCCAAAAGCCGUGUAAAUUACCCAUGAAGGUCUUUGCCAGGCUCCACUCCCUCACUUCCCCUCCUUUUGCAUAGGGAAUUGAGAAUAACUGUACGCACUUUUGAGAAGGCCAGAUCUCAGCUAAACCAUUAGGAAGCUUCUGGGUGAACAGAAAUGAUCUGCAUAAAAACAAUACAACAGUUCCCUCAAGAUUUUAAAGCUGACAUUGUGUCAACUUGUUGAUCUAGGAUGCACAACCUCCAGAGCAGAGAAAGCAAACUGGUGGCCCAUGGCCAGUCCAGCUCACCACCGUGCUCUGUGUAGCUUGCAGAGUGCAACUGCUCAGUUGUUUUUCUUAUAAUAGGGAAGUAUUUCUCUACACCACUGUCUUUAUCACAAGUGGGGAAAUUAGAGAGAGGAUUAAGAGCAAUAGAUGCUUUUAGGGAAAUGGCAUUGAGCAUACAUUGGGCCCUGCCCACUGCUUUGGUUCUUGGGUUUGGGGAUUUUUAUAUAUACACCCCAUCAGACCUCUCCAGCUACUGAGAUUGUGAUGCUUCACUCUAGACUAAAGAACGAGUUUGUCUAUACCCUGACCCUCCAAAGGGAAGUUGUUUCCUAAUAUGAGGGGUUAGAGGAAAAGGAAGAAAUGGAAGAUAAGCAAAGGCUGCCCUCUUUCUGUAACUGCCCAGCCACAGCAGAGACAGAACAAUCUCACACUCAGAGCUGAGACCCCCUGGGGAUGAUCCGGCUCAGUCCUUCUGCUUAAUAAAUGAGGAAAUGAAGCCUCAAAGAAGUCAAGGGCUUGACCCAAGCCAAACAGCCCAGCCAGAACGGGCCAGACCCUAGCAUUUUUUCCUCUCUUGGAAGAUGCCUCACCCUCAAGUGAAAGCGAAACUGCAGACUCUAUUAAAUCAUGUUUUUUAUGUUUUCUGAGCACCACACCUUUUUACACACUGUUUCCAUUCUAAGGUGGUUAUCUAAGUGAUACCUCUCAUUCUGUCCUGGCAUUAGGAGCCCAAUAAAACGAGCCCCCAGGAGUAGGCCCAUUAGCAGCAUGCUUUGCAAAGCUUCUCCAGUUUGCUAAGAAGCACUUCAGCGUCCCGAGUUCAUCUCUUUCGUGUCACAAGAGAGCAUCUGCUCUUGCAGGAAUGUCACGAGUGCAGAACAAAGGAACUUGAGAUGGGUGGUAAAGUUCAGUGUUGACAACAUGGACUUCAGAAUCAAACUAGACCUGGGGGAACAUUUUCCUUGACUCAGUUUCCUCUUCAGAAACACCAAGCAAACACCAAGCACCUAUUUCAUACAGUCGUUGUUGGAAUUAAAUGAGAUAAUAAAUAAGAUAAUGCCCGAAAUAGUUAAGUGCCCCAAAAGUCAUCAGUUACUAUAGUUAUGGCUAGGCAAACAAGUAUGUUAUGUGCUUGGAUUGCUUGUAAUUGUUUUCAUUUUGGAGAGACCAGAUCAUUGUAAUUCCCUUUCACAAGCCAUUUAGAUAUUGAAGUUCCAACAGAAGUUCUGGACAAAGAUUAUAAUGAAAGCAGAAAAUUUCCCAAAAUAAAUCUUCUGUUUUUUUUUUUAAUCUUAAUGGGACCUCAAGCCAAGUUCAACCCUAGUAGGCACCUUGGCAGAGCUGCUACUCUGCUCUCCCCAUAGUGUGUCAUACUGGAUGUGCUUGUCAAUGUGGUAUUCCUUUUCUGCUUUAAUCAGCCAAUAUGGGCCCUGAGAACAAUGAAGCAAUCACCUUCUUCCCCAACAGGUAUGCUAAUUGCAUCAUUUCAGUAACGCACUUAUCCUUCACCAGCAUAAGUCCUGCGAAUUUGCCCACCGUCCCUUCUACAGCCAGCUCUCACCUCUGAUGGGUGUGUGUGUGGAAGUUUAGAGCAUAAUGGCCCCAGAAUGUUAGAGGGAUACAAACUAGGGGAGGAUGCUAUGAGUUUGAAGCUUUUGGCGGUGGAACAGGAAAGCACAGCCCUCUAAUUCGAGCACAUUGACAGUGUGGCAGCAUGGUGAACCACCUUAGAAACCCAAAACAGAAGAAACAACGCAACUGCGGCUCACAGAGUUUAACCCCAAGCUCUAACUCUGGCGUAUAGUUACCAUGUCACUAAGAGCUCGAAUUCAUCUUUAUUAAUCUACAAAUUCAUGCACAAUGGAUUUUUUCUUGCCGUCUUCCAAAAUACUGAUCUCCUAUCAACUACAGUUGAAGUCGCUUUUCUGCUUGAGGGUAUUGCUGUUUCUCUGAUUUUGAAAACUGAAGAGACACGAAGGGGAGAAGCAUAAGUGACACUUUCCCGGGAAAAUUUGCAAAAAUGCUUCCCAACCCUAGCAGUCCCCAAACCACCACAUGAGCAGCUACUUGCGUGGCCCUGCAGUAGUGGCCUAUUGUUAAUCCCUAAGGUUAACAAACUCCUGAGAGUGACUGUGAAUUGUGGAUUAUUAGGAUGAGUAAUCUUCUCAAAUGAUUUCUUUUAGGAGAUUUGGCUUCAUAGAAGGCCUAAGGCUUAUUCUAAAAGUAACUCAUCGUUAAAAGGAAAAAGGAAAACAAUUGUAAAAAAGGAAACAAUUGUAAAAGACUGAUAAGCAACAGUAUGAUAUCAAUAUGAUCUCAAGUUAAUUAUAUAUAAGGAUAUACCACAAAAGGCUUAUGGCUGUUAAUAUUUCCCAGGUAGUGAGAUAAGAG
ensembl:lncRNA